UACGUAGGGGGCAAGCGUUGUCCGGAAUCAUUGGGCGUAAAGAGCGUGUAGGCGGCCAGGUAGGUCUGCUGUGAAAACUCGAGGCUCAACUUCGAGAUGUCGGCGGAAACCAUCUGGCUAGAGUCCGGAAGAGGAGAGUAGAAUUCCUGGUGUAGCGGUGAAAUGCGCAGAUAUCAGGAGGAAUACCCGUGGCGAAAGCGGCUCUCUGGGACGGUACUGACGCUGAGACGCGAAAGCGUGGGGAGCAAACAGG
rnacentral:rRNA from 1 species